GGGGACGCCGCCUUGGCCGCCCUGGACGAGCUGUCACUGAAUUUCACGUACAGGGCACCAGGCGCCGGCAACGGCUCCCUCUCGGGCGACUGGUACCGCAGGAACCAGAUUCACCUUUUUGGAGUUUUGCUGGCUAUUUUAGGAAACUUGGUGAUCAGCGUUUCUCUAAAUAUUCAGAAAUAUUCUCACCUUCAGCUGGCACAACAAGAGCACCCAAGGCCGUACUUCAAGAGUGUGCUGUGGUGGGGUGGUGUCCUGCUGAUGGCCGUGGGAGAGAUGGGGAACUUUGCAGCCUAUGGAUUUGCUCCCAUUACUCUGAUUGCUCCGUUAGGCUGUGUGUCUGUUACAGGUAAGCCAUUCUGUGUUUUGACAAACAGAAACUUAAAGAGCAGAAUAAUCAGAGAAAAACACACAACUGAAACAACAAAUGCAAGAAGGAAGAAAGUCUAUUGGCUGGUUUCUUAUCACGUUAACAUGGAACAAUUAUUCUGCUAAUUUCAGCGAUCCAUUGUCAUGCUGUCACAUUAACCACGAAGAAACUUGCAUUUUGUGACUCUAACACUUAUGUGUGAAAGCCUGAUGCCUGAGUCUUAAUAAAUUAACGGCUACAGAAAA
rnacentral:sRNA from 1 species